rnacentral:rRNA from 1 species
UACGGAGGGGGCUAGCGUUGUUCGGAAUUAAUGGGCGUAAAGCGCACGUAGGCGGCUUUGUAAGUUAGAGGUGAAAGCCCGGGGCUCAACUCCGGAAUUGCCUUUAAGACUGCAUCGCUAGAAUUGUGGAGAGGUGAGUGGAAUUCCGAGUGUAGAGGUGAAAUUCGUAGAUAUUCGGAAGAACACCAGUGGUGAAGGCGACUCACUGGACACAUAUUGACGCUGAGGUGCGAAAGCGUGGGGAGCAAACAGG